UGGGGAAUUUUGGACAAUGGGCGAAAGCCUGAUCCAGCAAUGCCGCGUGUGUGAAGAAGGCCUUCGGGUUGUAAAGCACUUUUGUCCGGAAAGAAAUCCUUGGCUCUAAUACAGUCGGGGGAUGACGGUACCGGAAGAAUAAGCACCGGCUAACUACGUGCCAGCAGCCGCGGUAAUACGUAGGGUGCAAGCGUUAAUCGGAAUUACUGGGCGUAAAGCGUGCGCAGGGCGGUUUGCUAAGACCGAUGUGAAAUUCCCGGGCUCAACCUGGGAACUGCAUUGGUGACUGGCAGGCUAGAGUAUGGCAGAGGGGGGUAGAAUUCCACGUGUAGCAGUGAAAUGCGUAGAGAUGUGGAGGAAUACCGAUGGCGAAGGCAGCCCCCUGGGCCAAUACUGACGCUCAUGCACGAAAGCGUGGGGAGCAAACAGGAUUAGAUACCCUGGUAGUCCACGCCCUAAACGAUGUCAACUAGUUGUUGGGGAUUCAUUUCCUUAGUAACGUAGCUAACGCGC
rnacentral:rRNA from 1 species